UACGUAGGGGGCAAGCGUUGUCCGGAUUUAUUGGGCGUAAAGAGCUCGUAGGUGGUUCGGUAAGUCGGAUGUGAAAUCUCCAGGCUCAACCUGGAGGGGUCAUUCGAUACUGCCGUGACUAGAGGUCGGUAGGGGAGUGUGGAAUUCCUGGUGGAGCGGUGAAAUGCGCAGAUAUCGAGAGGAACACCAGUGGCGAAGGCGAGUCCCUGGACAACUCCUGACGCUGAGGCACGAAAGCUAGGGGAGCAAACAGG
rnacentral:rRNA from 1 species